GGCACAGUGGUCUAAUGGUAUGACACCUGCUAUGUAGGUACCUGCUAAUUUCAGGCAGAGGGCAGGUGAUCUGGGUUCAAUUCCCAGCUGAGCCA
rnacentral:tRNA from 1 species